CACUCACCGCUUCUCCCACCUCCUCCGCCGCCGCAAUGGCAGGGGAAAGCACGGCAGCCACCUCAUCGCUCGCAUGCGCACCCGCCCCGGCGCCGGCAGACGCACUCCUGCCCACUCCGCCAGCCGCCCAGCGUCCCGAGCAACGCGACCUUGGGACUGGGAGGCUCAUAUGGGCGGUAAUAAGCUGGACUGGAGGUUGCGCGGGGAGGCGGAGCCCGGAGCCGCCGUGCCUGGCGACAUGGGCGGCGAGGUAAGAGGCUAGAACCCUAGAAUUUUGGCACUACCUAUAUCUGAAUCUGCCACUCGCUCUUCUUCUGAAAAAAAAUCUGCUAUUACCUGUUUCCUCUGCAGUUCCGUUUGUGGAUUGCCCUCCUGCUGGCUGGAUGUUAGGGGCAAUGGAUCCUGAUCAUCUACUGUCCUCUUUUUUACCAUCUAGGUAGACCGGGCAUGAGGUUUGGUUGUUUAGGUUCAGGCAUCGACUGAACUUGGUGAAUCCAAACUACUUGAUGAGAAGACAAGUACUACUACUCGUAGGUCUGCAUACUUUCAUCUGAACUUUUAGGUGGCCUGUCACCUGUCAGGUGGUGAACUCAAUCAAUUAUACCCAUGAGCAAUGGUCUGCAUGAUAAUAUUUCAUAUUUGGUGUAGGCACCAAUAUGUAUAUGUACAGACAAAGGCCAGCAGUUUAAAGCAUCCCCUCUGGUAUCCAGUGUUUGCUUGAAGCAUCCACUUGACUUCAGGGAAGGAAAUGAGAUGGAAAGGGGAAAAUGAUAACAGGGAAUAUGGUCGUG
rnacentral:lncRNA from 1 species